CCAUGCCGCGUGGGUCGAUGAAGGCCUAGGUUGUAAAGACCCUUUCGGCGGGGAAGGAUAAUGACGGUACCCGCAGAAGAAGCCCCGGCUAACUUCAUGC
rnacentral:rRNA from 1 species